AGCUAACGCAUUAAGUAGACCGCCUGGGGAGUACGGCCGCAAGGUUAAAACUCAAAUGAAUUGACGGGGGCCCGCACAAGCGGUGGAGCAUGUGGUUUAAUUCGAUGCAACGCGAAGAACCUUACCUACACUUGACAUACAGAGAACUUACCAGAGAUGGUUUGGUGCCUUCGGGAACUCUGAUACAGGUGCUGCAUGGCUGUCGUCAGCUCGUGUUGUGAGAUGUUGGGUUAAGUCCGGCAACGAGCGCAACCCACAUCCUUAGUUGCCAUCAGUUCGGCUGGGCACUCUAAGGAAACUGCCCGUGAUAAGCGGGAGGAAGGUGUGGAUGACGUCAAGUCCUCAUGGCCCUUACGGGUUGGGCUACACACGUGCUACAAUGGCAGUGACAAUGGGUUAAUCCCAAAAAGCUGUCUCAGUUCGGAUUGGGGUCUGCAACUCGACCCCAUGAAGUCGGAAUCGCUAGUAAUCGCGUAACAGCAUGACGCGGUGAAUACGUUCCCGGGCCUUGUACACACCGCCCGUCACACCAUGGGAGUUGGUUCUACCCGACGACGCUGCGCUAACCUUCGGGGGGCAGGCGGCCACGGUAGGAUCAGCGACUGGGGUGAAGUCGUAACAAAGUAGCCGA
rnacentral:rRNA from 2 species